GAUGAACGCUGGCGGCGUGCCUAAUACAUGCAAGUCGAGCGAACAGACGAGGAGCUUGCUCCUCUGACGUUAGCGGCGGACGGGUGAGUAACACGUGGAUAACCUACCUAUAAGACUGGGAUAACUUCGGGAAACCGGAGCUAAUACCGGAUAAUAUAUUGAACCGCAUGGUUCAAUAGUGAAAGACGGUUUUGCUGUCACUUAUAGAUGGAUCCGCGCCGCAUUAGCUAGUUGGUAAGGUAACGGCUUACCAAGGCGACGAUGCGUAGCCGACCUGAGAGGGUGAUCGGCCACACGGGAACUGAGACAAGGUCCAGACUCCUACGGGAGGCAGCAGUAGGGAAUCUUCCGCAAUGGGCGAAAGCCUGACGGAGCAACGCCGCGUGAGUGAUGAAGGUCUUCGGAUCGUAAAACUCUGUUAUUAGGGAAGAACAAAUGUGUAAGUAACUAUGCACGUCUUGACGGUACCUAAUCAGAAAGCCACGGCUAACUACGUG
rnacentral:rRNA from 1 species